rnacentral:rRNA from 1 species
AUCAACUUUCGAUGGUAGGAUAGAGGCCUACCAUGGUGGUAACGGGUAACGGGGUGUUAGGGCACGACACCGGAGAGGGAGCCUGAGAAACGGCUACCACAUCCAAGGAUGGCAGCAGGCGCGCAAAUUACCCAAUCCCGACACGGGGAGGUAGUGACAAUAAAUAACAAUACGGGGUUCUUUCGGAUUUCGUAAUUGGAAUGAGUACAAUUUAAAUCUCUUAACGAGGAACAAUUGGAGGGCAAGUCUGGUGCCAGCAGCCGCGGUAAUUCCAGCUCCAAUAGCGUAUAUUAAAGUUGUUGCAGUUAAAAAGCUCGUAGUUGAAUUUCGGGAUCAUCAGGUUGGUCGUGCCUCUGGUAUGUACUUGCUUCGAUGGUCUCUCCUUCUUGAAGAACCGUAAUGGCAUUAAUUUGUUGUUGCGGGGAAACAGGACUGUUACUUUGAAAAAAUUAGAGUGUUUAAAGCAGGCAAUCGCUUGAAUACAUUAGCAUGGAAUAAUGAAAUAGGACGUUCGAUCCUAUUUUGUUGGUUUCUAGGAUUGACGUAAUGAUUAAUAGGGAUAGUUGGGGGCAUUAGUAUUCAAUUGUCAGAGGUGAAAUUCUUGGAUUUAUUGAAGACUAACUACUGCGAAAGCAUUUGCCAAGGAUGUUUUCAUUAAUCAAGAACGAAAGUUAGGGGAUCGAAGACGAUCAGAUACCGUCGUAGUCUUAACCAUAAACUAUGCCGACUAGGGAUCGGAUGAUGUUAAUUUUUUAAUGACUCAUUCGGCGCCUUACGGGAAACCAAAGUGUUUGGGUUC